AAAAGAAUAGGGUUUUGAAUGCUUAAACCAUUCGGCACUUGUGUGGCUUGAUUAAGGUAUGUUCUUUGCUCGGUUUUUUAUGAUUUUUACGUUUUUGAGAUCGCUGCUUUGUAUUCUAGCUAGCCCAUGCUCUAAUUUUGAAAGUUGUUAAUGAUUUUGUGAAGUGCCAUUGAUGAAUACUUGAGCUUUUUAAUGUUUGAUAAUGGAAAAUGGUUAUUUGUUGAUAGAUUUAAAUGUUUUGUAAAGUGAUUUUUGACAAAAAUGAGCAUUAGGGUUUUUUUUAAAGAUAGAAAUAUUAUGGUUAGAAAUGAGAAAUAAAUGAAAAUAUGGGCUGAUUAGAAGCUAUAUAGUAUUCGGCUAAGUAUAUGUGUAAAGAAAUUUUGUAUAUUUUAUGUAAUUGUGAAUUAGGGACUAAAGUGUCAAAAUGUGAGAAUAUGAGGGCUAUUUUGUAAAAAGGCCAAAAUAUAUGUAUAUGGAUUGAAUUGAAUGGUUUGGUGAAUAAAUGGGUUAAAUUUGAAUUUAUAUAGAUCAAUAUAAACAAAUACCGGAACUUGAUCGGGGGAAACAAAAGUUAGACGGGUAGACGAAAGUAUCCGAGCAAAAAUACAAGGUAAGUUCGUAUCAAUAGAAUCAAAAUUUAAUUAUGUGAAUUUACUUGUAUUUGAUUUGAAAUAGAAUUAUAAUUGUUUGAAAAUGUAUGAUAUGAAAUUCGAAUACUUGAUUGAGGAAAUUAUUGAGUAAUACCAAGCCCCUCUUGAACUCAGAGAAAAUCGUAGGAUACAAGUGACAUGUUGUUAGGGUUACCGUAUUGGUCGAGCUUCUGUAUUUGUUUCGGGCUCACCACAGCUAGUAUGAGCUUACCUAUAUAUAAGCUUUUAUGAGCUUACCGUUUCAGCUCGAUAGAGCUUAUCGUUUAUCAACUCGGAAUGAGCUUACCGAUCAUGGCUCGAAAGAGCAUACAUGAUAAUGAAUUGACAGAUUUCUGAUGAAUACACUUAUAGUGUAUCACCCGUAUAUCCUUCGAUAUUCAAAAAGGUUCAACAGGCAUAAUUGCUGUUACUAAUCAUAUGAAUAAACUAUGUAAUUAUAUGGAUGAAUUAUUGUUGAUAUGUAUAAGUUACUGUUGAUACGGAUAAAUUUCUGUUAUUACUGAUGAAUUACAGGUUAUACGAAUAGGAACGAAUUGAUAUAAAAGUUAUAUGAUUUACAUAUUUAUAAGUUACAUGAAAUACGUGAUUUACAUGGAUUAUUUGUUUUAUGAAUAUAUGAAUUAUAGGGACGACAUGAUAUAUUUAGCUAUAUGACUUGGAUUGAUUUUAUGAUAUAUGAUUUAUAUGGAUUGAGGAAUGAAUUUGGAGGCUAAAAGAAUGUUAUAUGUUUGGUUUCAUCUUUAUGAAUGGAUGAAUAUAUGGAUGUGAAAUGAAUAACUUGUGAAUGGUGAUGUGAAUAGGUUUUUUGGACAAAUGAGUUGAUUUUAAUUGCUUUAAUGCUUAAUGUUAAAUUGGUAAGUUUAAUUUUAUAUUAUACGGCUUACUAAGCUCAAUGCUUACUUCAUUCAUUUUCUUAUGUCCUAUAGAUUUCGGAAGUUAGCUCGAUUUCGAACGAGGUCGGAGAUUUGCUAUCACACUAUCUAGACGAUAUUCGGUACUUUUGGAUCUUAUGUAAAUAAUGUAAAUAUGGCAUGUAUAAGCUAGUUUCUGGGUUGAAUUAUAUGGUCAUUUAUGUUGGUGAAUGUGGUAUGGAUUUUGGGGUUUGAUCAAGCUAUGUGAUAUGGCUUGAGUUGGAAAUGUUUGGUUUGGUAUGGAAGCAUUAUAUGUUAUGCUCAUUUUGUGGUGAAUUUGAUAAAUGGUAUUUUGGCAUAAAUGAGACAUAUGUGUGACCAAAUGAAAUGUCAUUUUGGUAUGUGUUUACUUGUGAAUUCGGUAAGAUUUUG
rnacentral:lncRNA from 1 species